rnacentral:rRNA from 1 species
GGUUAAGCGACUAAGCGUACACGGUGGAUGCCCUGGCAGUCAGAGGCGAUGAAGGACGUGCUAAUCUGCGAAAAGCGUCGGUAAGGUGAUAUGAACCGUUACAGCCGGCGAUGUCCGAAUGGGGAAACCCAGUGUGAUUCGUCACACUAUCGUUAACUGAAUACAUAGGUUAACGAGGCGAACCGGGGGAACUGAAACAUCUAAGUACCCCGAGGAAAAGAAAUCAACCGAGAUUCCCCCAGUAGCGGCGAGCGAACGGGGAGCAGCCCAGAGUCUGAAUCAGCUUGUGUGUUAGUGGAACGGUCUGGAAAGUCCGACGGUACAGGGUGAUAGUCCCGUACACCAAAAUGCACAGGUUGUGAACUCGAAGAGUAGGGCGGGACACGUGGUAUCCUGUCUGAAUAUGGGGGGACCAUCCUCCAAGGCUAAAUACUCCUGACUGACCGAUAGUGAACCAGUACCGUGAGGGAAAGGCGAAAAGAACCCCGGCGAGGGGAGUGAAAAAGAACCUGAAACCGUGUACGUACAAGCAGUGGGAGCACCUUCGGGUGUGACUGCGUACCUUUUGUAUAAUGGGUCAGCGACUUAUAUUCUGUAGCAAGGUUAACCGUAUAGGGGAGCCGCAGGGAAACCGAGUCUUAACUGGGCGUUAAGUUGCAGGGUAUAGACCCGAAACCCGGUGAUCUAGCCAUGGGCAGGUUGAAGGUUGGGUAACACUAACUGGAGGACCGAACCGACUAAUGUUGAAAAAUUAGCGGAUGACUUGUGGCUGGGGGUGAAAGGCCAAUCAAACCGGGAGAUAGCUGGUUCUCCCCGAAAGCUAUUUAGGUAGCGCCUCGUGAAUUCAUCUUCGGGGGUAGAGCACUGUUUCGGCUAGGGGGUCAUCCCGACUUACCAACCCGAUGCAAACUACGAAUACCGAAGAAUGUUAUCACGGGAGACACACGGCGGGUGCUAACGUCCGUCGUGAAGAGGGAAACAACCCAGACCGCCAGCUAAGGUCCCAAAGUCACAGUUAAGUGGGAAACGAUGUGGGAAGGCACAGACAGCCAGGAUGUUGGCUUAGAAGCAGCCAUCAUUUAAAGAAAGCGUAAUAGCUCACUGGUCGAGUCGGCCUGCGCGGAAGAUGUAACGGGGCUAAACUGUGCACCGAAGCUGCGGCAGCGACACUUAGGUGUUGUUGGGUAGGGGAGCGUUCUGUAAGCCUGCGAAGGUGGCCUGUGAGGGUUGCUGGAGGUAUCAGAAGUGCGAAUGCUGACAUAAGUAACGAUAAUGCGGGUGAAAAGCCCGCACGCCGGAAGACCAAGGGUUCCUGUCCAACGUUAAUCGGGGCAGGGUGAGUCGACCCCUAAGGCGAGGCCGAAAGGCGUAGUCGAUGGGAAACAGGUUAAUAUUCCUGUACUUGGUGUUACUGCGAAGGGGGGACGGAGAAGGCUAUGUUAGCCGGGCGACGGUUGUCCCGGUUUAAGCAUGUAGGCGGAGGUUCCAGGUAAAUCCGGUACCUUUUAACGCUGAGGUGUGAUGACGAGGCACUACGGUGCUGAAGUAACAAAUGCCCUGCUUCCAGGAAAAGCCUCUAAGCAUCAGGUAACAUUGAAUCGUACCCCAAACCGACACAGGUGGUCAGGUAGAGAAUACCAAGGCGCUUGAGAGAACUCGGGUGAAGGAACUAGGCAAAAUGGUGCCGUAACUUCGGGAGAAGGCACGCUGAUAUGUAGGUGAAGCCCCUGCGGGUGGAGCUGAAAUCAGUCGAAGAUACCAGCUGGCUGCAACUGUUUAUUAAAAACACAGCACUGUGCAAACACGAAAGUGGACGUAUACGGUGUGACGCCUGCCCGGUGCCGGAAGGUUAAUUGAUGGGGUUAUCCGUAAGGAGAAGCUCUUGAUCGAAGCCCCGGUAAACGGCGGCCGUAACUAUAACGGUCCUAAGGUAGCGAAAUUCCUUGUCGGGUAAGUUCCGACCUGCACGAAUGGCGUAAUGAUGGCCAGGCUGUCUCCACCCGAGACUCAGUGAAAUUGAACUCGCUGUGAAGAUGCAGUGUACCCGCGGCAAGACGGAAAGACCCCGUGAACCUUUACUAUAGCUUGACACUGAACAUUGAGCCUUGAUGUGUAGGAUAGGUGGGAGGCUUUGAAGCGUGGACGCCAGUCUGCGUGGAGCCAACCUUGAAAUACCACCCUUUAAUGUUUGAUGUUCUAACGUUGGCCCCUGACCGGGGUUGCGGACAGUGUCUGGUGGGUAGUUUGACUGGGGCGGUCUCCUCCCAAAGAGUAACGGAGGAGCACGAAGGUUAGCUAAUCCUGGUCGGACAUCAGGAGGUUAGUGCAAUGGCAUAAGCUAGCUUGACUGCGAGCGUGACGGCGCGAGCAGGUGCGAAAGCAGGUCAUAGUGAUCCGGUGGUUCUGAAUGGAAGGGCCAUCGCUCAACGGAUAAAAGGUACUCCGGGGAUAACAGGCUGAUACCGCCCAAGAGUUCAUAUCGACGGCGGUGUUUGGCACCUCGAUGUCGGCUCAUCACAUCCUGGGGCUGAAGUAGGUCCCAAGGGUAUGGCUGUUCGCCAUUUAAAGUGGUACGCGAGCUGGGUUUAGAACGUCGUGAGACAGUUCGGUCCCUAUCUGCCGUGGGCGCUGGAGAAUUGAGGGGGGCUGCUCCUAGUACGAGAGGACCGGAGUGGACGCAUCACUGGUGUUCGGGUUGUCAUGCCAAUGGCAUUGCCCGGUAGCUAAAUGCGGAAGAGAUAAGUGCUGAAAGCAUCUAAGCACGAAACUUGCCCCGAGAUGAGUUCUCCCUGAGACUUUAAGUCUCCUGAAGGAACGUUAAAGACGAUGACGUUGAUAGGUCGGGUGUGUAAGCGUAGCGAUACGUUGAGCUAACCGAUACUAAUGAACCGUGAGGCUUAACCUU